AUUGAACGCUGGCGGCAGGCCUAACACAUGCAAGUCGAACGAGUGGCGGACGGGUGAGUAAUGUCUGGGACACUGCCUGCUGGAUGGGGAUAACUACUGGAAACGGUAGCUAAUACCGCAUACCAUCGGAUGUGCCCAGAUGGGAUUGGCUAGUAGGUGGGGUAAAGGCUCACCUAGGCGACUAUCUCUAGCUGGUCUUAGAGGAUGACCAGCCAAACUGGAACUGAGACACGGUCCAGACUCCUACGGGAGACAGCAGUGGGGAAUAUUGCAGAAUGGGCGCAAGCCUGAUGCAGCCAUGCCGCGUGUAUGAAGAAGGCCUUCGGGUUGUAAAGUACUUUCAGCGGGGAGGCGUUACCCGCAGAAGAAGCACCGGCUAACUCCGUGCCAGCAGCCGCGGUAAUUC
rnacentral:rRNA from 1 species